GACGAACGCUGGCGGCGUGCUUAACACAUGCAAGUCGAACGGAAAGGCCCUGCUUUUGUGGGGUGCUCGAGUGGCGAACGGGUGAGUAACACGUGAGUAACCUGCCCUUGACUUUGGGAUAACUUCAGGAAACUGGGGCUAAUACCGGAUAGGAGCUCCUGCUGCAUGGUGGGGGUUGGAAAGUUUCGGCGGUUGGGGAUGGACUCGCGGCUUAUCAGCUUGUUGGUGGGGUAGUGGCUUACCAAGGCUUUGACGGGUAGCCGGCCUGAGAGGGUGACCGGCCACAUUGGGACUGAGAUGCGGCCCAGACUCGUACGGGAGGCAGCAGAGGGGAAGAGUGCACAAUGGGCGGAAGCCUGAUGCAGCAACGCCGCGUGCGGGAUGACGGCCUUCGGGUUGGAAACCGCUUUCGCCUGUGACGAAGCGUGAGUGACGGUAAUGGGUAAAGAAGCACCGGCUAACUACGUG
rnacentral:rRNA from 1 species